GACGAACGCUGGCGGCGUGCUUAACACAUGCAAGUCGAGCGGAAAGGCCCUUCGGGGUACUCGAGCGGCGAACGGGUGAGUAACACGUGAGUAAUCUGCCCUUGGCUUUGGGAUAACUACCGGAAACGGUGGCUAAUACCGGAUACGACAGCCGUCUGCAUGGGCUGGUUGUGGAAAGUUUUUUCGGCCAGGGAUGUGCUCGCGGCCUAUCAGCUUGUUGGUGGGGUAAUGGCCUACCAAGGCUUCGACGGGUAGCCGGCCUGAGAGGGUGACCGGCCACACUGGGACUGAGACACGGCCCAGACUCCUACGGGAGGCAGCAGUGGGGAAUAUUGGACAAUGGGCGGAAGCCUGAUCCAGCAACGCCGCGUGAGGGAUGACGGCCUUCGGGUUGUAAACCUCUUUCAGUACCGACGAAGCGCCGAUGAUGGUGGUGACGGUAGGUACAGAAGAAGCACCGGCCAACUACGUG
rnacentral:rRNA from 1 species